rnacentral:tRNA from 1 species
AGGGAUAUGGCUUAGUGGCACAGUGCCUGCCUCACAAGUGCAAGGUCCUGAGUUCAAUUCCCAGUACCUCCA